GAUUCAUGUUUCGAUUUAAUGCCUACAUUUCCUCGCGUAUUUCCUUUCGACACGGUUCGAUAAGCUGCGGAAGAUCAAAGAGUCCUACAGCCGAGGACUCAGUACCAAUCCGACAACAGGAUAAUUUGACGCCAGGAACAAGUUAGGUCAGCCGCACGAAGGUCGUUCUACGCAAACGCUAUGUGCGCAUGCAAUGACAGUAAUUGCGCACAAACAUUGAGAGCAAAUGUACUUUAGACGUGUUCUAUUCGAAAGGAAAAAUGUUCACGUGGUCAAGAAUGUACAAGCAUUGAGGAAAGCAUGAAAAAAAUGAAAGGAUUUGUGGGUCGGGCCAAAGAGACUGAAACAGUCGUGUGUUGCUAGUGAACCGAGGAAUCGGGGAUUUCCAUGUAUUAAAUAAACAUUUCGCCGCUGUCAAAGCAAAGUAUAGCGGUGUAGUAUGGUGUCCCAUGUCCAUGACCAUACAGGGCAACUCAUAAAGUAUGCAAUUGGACAAGGUAAAACGACGCGCUUGCACCGAGACUGCAUCGUUGCUCGGCCAUUCGCUAAAUUAUUAUUGGGACCUUUCACCUUUCUAUCUAAUAAUCUACCUAGUAGCAGACAAGAGCAUUAGUGUUGUAAGUGAUCAUUAUCUUCCGCAUUACUCAUAUAUUGAUUUCUUUAUAGAUAAAAAAAAAGUCUCGACUGAUUAUCGUAUUAGCCUUUAUAGGACAAAUGCUUUCCCUAACGUUUCUCUCGGAACCUGUUGAGAUUCCAUUUGGUCGGAGUGACUAAGUGGAUAAGCGGGAAUAAUGUAAUUAACACCUUCCAUGUGAAACCAAACUGUCAACUCGAAGACAACAGAAUUCUAGUGCAUAUGUAAGCAUCUCAUACUUCAUGUCCAAGAAAUGUCACAUACGGAACAAAUAGACACAAAAAUGAAGACAUCUCCGACUUUAUGUAGCUCUGAAAAUGUAUUGACGCGGUUCGUGUAUUAACCACAUCGUAAGAUUAGAUGUUGAUAAAUAUACCUAUGAUCAACUAGUUCGCUGAUAUCUAAAAUGUAUAUGUAAUGGCAUUCGUAAUGGGAUAUACUGAUUAAAUGGCUACACGCGUGCAAUCUUAUAGUUAUCGUGACUGAAAUGAGUACUUUAUGAAAGCUUGACGCGCAUAGAAGCAUUAAAAACGUGCAUCGUUACAUAAAACUGAAUUACAUAAUUACUUCUUCGUACAAUGUAA